CCUACGGGAGGCAGCAGUGAGGAAUAUUGGUCAAUGGCCGGGAGGCUGAACCAGCCAAGUCGCGUGAGGGAAGACGGCCCUACGGGUUGUAAACCUCUUUUGUCAGGGAGCAAGGUGCAGGUCGGGACCUGCUGUGAGAGUACCUGAAGAAAAAGCAUCGGCUAACUCCGUUCCAGCAGCCGCGGUAAUGCGGAGGAUGCGAGCGUUAUCCGGAUUUAUUGGGUUUAAGGGGUGCGAAGGGGGAGGAACAAGUCAGCGGUAAAAUCGCGGGGCUCAACCCCGCUCCGCCGUUGAAACUGGGUGCCUUGAGUGCGCGAAGGGUAGGCGGAAUGCGUGGUGUAGCGGUGAAAUGCAUAGAUAUCACGCAGAACUCCGAUCGCGAAGGCAGCCUACCGGCGCGCAACUGACGCUCAUGCACGAAAGCGUGGGUAUCGAACAGGAUUAGAUACCCCAGUAGUC
rnacentral:rRNA from 1 species